rnacentral:rRNA from 1 species
AUACGGAGGGUGCAAGCGUUACUCGGAAUCACUGGGCGUAAAGCGCGCGCAGGCGGCUAUUUAAGUUGGAUGUGAAUGCCUACGGCUCAACCGUAGAACUGCAUCCAAAACUAUUUAGCUAGAGUGUGGGAGAGGAAGAUGGAAUUAGUUGUGUAGGGGUAAAAUCCGUAGAGAUAACUAGGAAUACCAAAAGCGAAGGCAAUCUUCUGGAACACUACUGACGCUGAGGCGCGAAAGCGUGGGGAGCAAACGGGAUUAGAAACCCCAGUAGUCC